rnacentral:rRNA from 1 species
UACGUAGGGGGCUAGCGUUGUCCGGAUUUAUUGGGCGUAAAGAGCGUGUAGGUGGCCAUGUAGGUCCGGUGUGAAAACUCGAGGCUUAACCUCGAGAUGUCAUCGGAAACCAUUUGGCUAGAGUCCGGAAGAGGAGAGUGGAAUUCCUGGUGUAGCGGUGAAAUGCGCAGAUAUCAGGAAGAACACCAAUGGCGAAAGCAGCUCUCUGGGACGGUACUGACGCUGAGGAGCGAAAGCGUGGGGAGCAAACAGG